UACGUAGGGGGCAAGCGUUGUCCGGAAUCAUUGGGCGUAAAGAGCGUGUAGGCGGCCCGGUAAGUCCGCUGUGAAAGUCCAGGGCUCAACCCUGGAAUGCCGGUGGAAACUGUCGGGCUAGAGUCCGGAAGAGGCGAGUGGAAUUCCUGGUGUAGCGGUGAAAUGCGCAGAUAUCAGGAGGAACACCAAUGGCGAAGGCAGCUCGCUGGGACGGUACUGACGCUGAGACGCGAAAGCGUGGGGAAGCAAACAGG
rnacentral:rRNA from 1 species